ensembl:lncRNA novel transcript
AAGUACCCAGGGACACAAAAACUGCGGAAGGCCGCAGGGACCUCUGCCUAGGAAAGCCAGGUAUUGUCCAAGGUUUCUCCCCAUGUGAUAGUCUGAAAUAUGGCCUCGUGGGAAGGGAAAGACCUGACCGUCCCCCAGCCCGACACCUGUAAAGGGUCUGUGCUGAGGAGGAUUAGUAAAAGAGGAAGGAAUGCCUCUUGCAGUUGAGACAAGAGGAAGGCAUCUGUCUCCUGCCUGUCCCUGGGCAAUGGAAUGUCUCGGUAUAAAACCCGAUUGUAUGCUCCAUCUACUGAGAUAGGGAAAAACCGCCUUAGGGCUGGAGGUGGGACCUGCGGGCAGCAAUACUGCUUUGUAAAGCAUUGAGAUGUUUAUGUGUAUGCAUAUCCAAAAGCACAGCACUUAAUCCUUUACAUUGUCUAUGAUGCCAAGACCUUUGUUCACGUGUUUGUCUGCUGACCCUCUCCCUACAAUUGUCUUGUGACCCUGACACAUCCCCCUCUUUGAGAAACACCCACAGAUGAUCAAUAAAUACUAAGGGAACUCAGAGGCUGGCGGGAUCCUCCAUAUGCUGAACGCUGGUUCCCCGGGUCCCCUUAUUUCUUUCUCUAUACUUUGUCUCUGUGUCUUUUUCUUUUCCAAAUCUCUCGUCCCACCUUACGAGAAACACCCACAGGUGUGUAGGGGCAACCCACCCCUACAUCUGGUGCCCAACGUGGAGGCUUUUCUCUAGGGUGAAGGUACGCUCGAGCGUGGUCAUUGAGGACAAGUCGACGAGAGAUCCCGAGUACAUCUACAGUCAGCCUUACGGUAAGCUUGCGCGCUCGGAAGAAGCUAGGGUGAUAAUGGGGCAAACUAAAAGUAAAAUUAAAAGUAAAUAUGCCUCUUAUCUCAGCUUUAUUAAAAUUCUUUUAAAAAGAGGGGGAGUUAAAGUAUCUACAAAAAAUCUAAUCAAGCUAUUUCAAAUAAUAGAACAAUUUUGCCCAUGGUUUCCAGAACAAGGAACUUUAGAUCUAAAAGAUUGGAAAAGAAUUGGUAAGGAACUAAAACAAGCAGGUAGGAAGGGUAAUAUCAUUCCACUUACAGUAUGGAAUGAUUGGGCCAUUAUUAAAGCAGCUUUAGAACCAUUUCAAACAGAAGAAGAUAGCAUUUCAGUUUCUGAUGCCCCUGGAAGCUGUUUAAUAGAUUGUAAUGAAAACACAAGGAAAAAAUCCCAGAAAGAAACCGAAAGUUUACAUUGCGAAUAUGUAGCAGAGCCGGUAAUGGCUCAGUCAACGCAAAAUGUUGACUAUAAUCAAUUACAGGAGGUGAUAUAUCCUGAAACGUUAAAAUUAGAAGGAAAAGGUCCAGAAUUAAUGGGGCCAUCAGAGUCUAAACCACGAGGCACAAGUCCUCUUCCAGCAGGUCAGGUGCCCGUAAGAUUACAACCUCAAAAGCAGGUUAAAGAAAAUAAGACCCAACCGCCAGUAGCCUAUCAAUACUGGCCGCCGGCUGAACUUCAGUAUCGGCCACCCCCAGAAAGUCAGUAUGGAUAUCCAGGAAUGCCCCCAGCACCACAGGGCAGGGCGCCAUACCAUCAGCCGCCCACUAGGAGACUUAAUCCUAUGGCACCACCUAGUAGACAGGGUAGUGAAUUACAUGAAAUUAUUGAUAAAUCAAGAAAGGAAGGAGAUACUGAGGCAUGGCAAUUCCCAGUAACGUUAGAACCGAUGCCACCUGGAGAAGGAGCCCAAGAGGGAGAGCCUCCCACAGUUGAGGCCAGAUACAAGUCUUUUUCGAUAAAAAUGCUAAAAGAUAUGAAAGAGGGAGUAAAACAGUAUGGACCCAACUCCCCUUAUAUGAGGACAUUAUUAGAUUCCAUUGCUUAUGGACAUAGACUCAUUCCUUAUGAUUGGGAGAUUCUGGCAAAAUCGUCUCUCUCACCCUCUCAAUUUUUACAAUUUAAGACUUGGUGGAUUGAUGGGGUACAAGAACAGGUCCGAAGAAAUAGGGCUGCCAAUCCUCCAGUUAACAUAGAUGCAGAUCAACUAUUAGGAAUAGGUCAAAAUUGGAGUACUAUUAGUCAACAAGCAUUAAUGCAAAAUGAGGCCAUUGAGCAAGUUAGAGCUAUCUGCCUUAGAGCCUGGGAAAAAAUCCAAGACCCAGGAAGUACCUGCCCCUCAUUUAAUACAGUAAGACAAGGUUCAAAAGAGCCCUACCCUGAUUUUGUGGCAAGGCUCCAAGAUGUUGCUCAAAAGUCAAUUGCCGAUGAAAAAGCCGGUAAGGUCAUAGUGGAGUUGAUGGCAUAUGAAAACGCCAAUCCUGAGUGUCAAUCAGCCAUUAAGCCAUUAAAAGGAAAGGUUCCUGCAGGAUCAGAUGUAAUCUCAGAAUAUGUAAAAGCCUGUGAUGGAAUCGGAGGAGCUAUGCAUAAAGCUAUGCUUAUGGCUCAAGCAAUAACAGGAGUUGUUUUAGGAGGACAAGUUAGAACAUUUGGAGGAAAAUGUUAUAAUUGUGGUCAAAUUGGUCACUUAAAAAAGAAUUGCCCAGUCUUAAACAAACAGAAUAUAACUAUUCAAGCAACUACAACAGGUAGAGAGCCACCUGACUUAUGUCCAAGAUGUAAAAAAGGAAAACAUUGGGCUAGUCAAUGUCGUUCUAAAUUUGAUAAAAAUGGGCAACCAUUGUCGGGAAACGAGCAAAGGGGCCAGCCUCAGGCCCCACAACAAACUGGGGCAUUCCCAAUUCAGCCAUUUGUUCCUCAGGGUUUUCAGGGACAACAACCCCUACUGUCCCAAGUGUUUCAGGGAAUAAGCCAGUUACCACAAUACAACAAUUGUCCCUCACCACAAGCGGCAGUGCAGCAGUAGAUUUAUGUACUAUACAAGCAGUCUCUCUGCUUCCAGGGGAGCCCCCACAAAAAAUCCCUACAGGGGUAUAUGGCCCACUGCCUGAGGGGACUGUAGGACUAAUCUUGGGAAGAUCAAGUCUAAAUCUAAAAGGAGUUCAAAUUCAUACUAGUGUGGUUGAUUCAGACUAUAAAGGCGAAAUUCAAUUGGUUAUUAGCUCUUCAAUUCCUUGGAGUGCCAGUCCAAGAGACAGGAUUGCUCAAUUAUUACUCCUGCCAUAUAUUAAGGGUGGAAAUAGUGAAAUAAAAAGAAUAGGAGGGCUUGUAAGCACUGAUCCAACAGGAAAGGCUGCAUAUUGGGCAAGUCAGGUCUCAGAGAACAGACCUGUGUGUAAGGCCAUUAUUCAAGGAAAACAGUUUGAAGGGUUGGUAGACACUGGAGCAGAUGUCUCUAUCAUUGCUUUAAAUCAGUGGCCAAAAAAUUGGCCUAAACAAAAGGCUGUUACAGGACUUGUCGGCAUAGGCACAGCCUCAGAAGUGUAUCAAAGUAUGGAGAUUUUACAUUGCUUAGGGCCAGAUAAUCAAGAAAGUACUGUUCAGCCAAUGAUUACUUCAAUUCCUCUUAAUCUGUGGGGUCGAGAUUUAUUACAACAAUGGGGUGCGGAAAUCACCAUGCCCGCUCCAUUAUAUAGCCCCACGAGUCAAAAAAUCAUGACCAAGAUGGGAUAUAUACCAGGAAAGGGACUAGGGAAAAAUGAAGAUGGCAUUAAAGUUCCAGUUGAGGCUAAAAUAAAUCAAGAAAGAGAAGGAAUAGGGUAUCCUUUUUAGGGGCGGUCACUGUAGAGCCUCCUAAACCCAUACCACUAACUUGGAAAACAGAAAAACCGGUGUGGGUAAAUCAGUGGCCGCUACCAAAACAAAAACUGGAGGCUUUACAUUUAUUAGCAAAUGAACAGUUAGAAAAGGGUCACAUUGAGCCUUCGUUCUCACCUUGGAAUUCUCCUGUGUUUGUAAUUCAGAAGAAAUCAGGCAAAUGGCGUAUGUUAACUGACUUAAGGGCUGUAAACGCCGUAAUUCAACCCAUGGGGCCUCUCCAACCCGGGUUGCCCUCUCCGGCCAUGAUCCCAAAAGAUUGGCCUUUAAUUAUAAUUGAUCUAAAGGAUUGCUUUUUUACCAUCCCUCUGGCAGAGCAGGAUUGUGAAAAAUUUGCCUUUACUAUACCAGCCAUAAAUAAUAAAGAACCAGCCACCAGGUUUCAGUGGAAAGUGUUACCUCAGGGAAUGCUUAAUAGUCCAACUAUUUGUCAGACUUUUGUAGGUCGAGCUCUUCAACCAGUGAGAGAAAAGUUUUCAGACUGUUAUAUUAUUCAUUAUAUUGAUGAUAUUUUAUGUGCUGCAGAAACGAAAGAUAAAUUAAUUGACUGUUAUACAUUUCUGCAAGCAGAGGUUGCCAAUGCUGGACUGGCAAUAGCAUCUGAUAAGAUCCAAACCUCUACUCCUUUUCAUUAUUUAGGGAUGCAGAUAGAAAAUAGAAAAAUUAAGCCACAAAAAAUAGAAAUAAGAAAAGACACAUUAAAAACACUAAAUGAUUUUCAAAAAUUACUAGGAGAUAUUAAUUGGAUUCGGCCAACUCUAGGCAUUCCUACUUAUGCCAUGUCAAAUUUGUUCUCUAUCUUAAGAGGAGACUCAGACUUAAAUAGUCAAAGAAUAUUAACCCCAGAGGCAACAAAAGAAAUUAAAUUAGUGGAAGAAAAAAUUCAGUCAGCGCAAAUAAAUAGAAUAGAUCCCUUAGCCCCACUCCAACUUUUUAUUUUUGCCACUGCACAUUCUCCAACAGGCAUCAUUAUUCAAAAUACUGAUCUUGUGGAGUGGUCAUUCCUUCCUCACAGUACAGUUAAGACUUUUACAUUGUACUUGGAUCAAAUAGCUACAUUAAUCGGUCAGACAAGAUUACGAAUAACAAAAUUAUGUGGAAAUGACCCAGACAAAAUAGUUGUCCCUUUAACCAAGGAACAAGUUAGACAAGCCUUUAUCAAUUCUGGUGCAUGGCAGAUUGGUCUUGCUAAUUUUGUGGGACUUAUUGAUAAUCAUUACCCAAAAACAAAGAUCUUCCAGUUCUUAAAAUUGACUACUUGGAUUCUACCUAAAAUUACCAGACGUGAACCUUUAGAAAAUGCUCUAACAGUAUUUACUGAUGGUUCCAGCAAUGGAAAAGCAGCUUACACAGGGCCGAAAGAACGAGUAAUCAAAACUCCAUAUCAAUCGGCUCAAAGAGCAGAGUUGGUUGCAGUCAUUACAGUGUUACAAGAUUUUGACCAACCUAUCAAUAUUAUAUCAGAUUCUGCAUAUGUAGUACAGGCUACAAGGGAUGUUGAGACAGCUCUAAUUAAAUAUAGCAUGGAUGAUCAGUUAAACCAGCUAUUCAAUUUAUUACAACAAACUGUAAGAAAAAGAAAUUUCCCAUUUUAUAUUACUCAUAUUCGAGCACACACUAAUUUACCAGGGCCUUUGACUAAAGCAAAUGAACAAGCUGACUUACUGGUAUCAUCUGCACUCAUAAAAGCACAAGAACUUCAUGCUUUGACUCAUGUAAAUGCAGCAGGAUUAAAAAACAAAUUUGAUGUCACAUGGAAACAGGCAAAAGAUAUUGUACAACAUUGCACCCAGUGUCAAGUCUUACACCUGCCCACUCAAGAGGCAGGAGUUAAUCCCAGAGGUCUGUGUCCUAAUGCAUUAUGGCAAAUGGAUGUCACGCAUGUACCUUCAUUUGGAAGAUUAUCAUAUGUUCAUGUAACAGUUGAUACUUAUUCACAUUUCAUAUGGGCAACUUGCCAAACAGGAGAAAGUACUUCCCAUGUUAAAAAACAUUUAUUGUCUUGUUUUGCUGUAAUGGGAGUUCCAGAAAAAAUCAAAACUGACAAUGGACCAGGAUAUUGUAGUAAAGCUUUCCAAAAAUUCUUAAGUCAGUGGAAAAUUUCACAUACAACAGGAAUUCCUUAUAAUUCCCAAGGACAGGCCAUAGUUGAAAGAACUAAUAGAACACUCAAAACUCAAUUAGUUAAACAAAAAGAAGGGGGAGACAGUAAGGAGUGUACCACUCCUCAGAUGCAACUUAAUCUAGCACUCUAUACUUUAAAUUUUUUAAACAUUUAUAGAAAUCAGACUACUACUUCUGCAGAACAACAUCUUACUGGUAAAAAGAACAGCCCACAUGAAGGAAAACUAAUUUGGUGGAAAGAUAAUAAAAAUAAGACAUGGGAAAUAGGGAAGGUGAUAACGUGGGGGAGAGGUUUUGCUUGUGUUUCACCAGGAGAAAAUCAGCUUCCUGUUUGGUUACCCACUAGACAUUUGAAGUUCUACAAUGAACCCAUCGGAGAUGCAAAGAAAAGGGCCUCCACGGAGAUGGUAACACCAGUCACAUGGAUGGAUAAUCCUAUAGAAGUAUAUGUUAAUGAUAGUGUAUGGGUACCUGGCCCCAUAGAUGAUCGCUGCCCUGCCAAACCUGAGGAAGAAGGGAUGAUGAUAAAUAUUUCCAUUGGGUAUCGUUAUCCUCCUAUUUGCCUAGGGAGAGCACCAGGAUGUUUAAUGCCUGCAGUCCAAAAUUGGUUGGUAGAAGUACCUACUGUCAGUCCCAUCAGUAGAUUCACUUAUCACAUGGUAAGCGGGAUGUCACUCAGGCCACGGGUAAAUUAUUUACAAGACUUUUCUUAUCAAAGAUCAUUAAAAUUUAGACCUAAAGGGAAACCUUGCCCCAAGGAAAUUCCCAAAGAAUCAAAAAAUACAGAAGUUUUAGUUUGGGAAGAAUGUGUGGCCAAUAGUGCGGUGAUAUUAUAAAACAAUGAAUUUGGAACUAUUAUAGAUUGGGCACCUCGAGGUCAAUUCUACCACAAUUGCUCAGGACAAACUCAGUCGUGUCCAAGUGCACAAGUGAGUCCAGCUGUUGAUAGCGACUUAACAGAAAGUUUAGACAAACAUAAGCAUAAAAAAUUGCAGUCUUUCUACCCUUGGGAAUGGGGAGAAAAAGGAAUCUCUACCCCAAGACCAAAAAUAGUAAGUCCUGUUUCUGGUCCUGAACAUCCAGAAUUAUGGAGGCUUACUGUGGCCUCACACCACAUUAGAAUUUGGUCUGGAAAUCAAACUUUAGAAACAAGAGAUUGUAAGCCAUUUUAUACUGUCGACCUAAAUUCCAGUCUAACAGUUCCUUUACAAAGUUGCGUAAAGCCCCCUUAUAUGCUAGUUGUAGGAAAUAUAGUUAUUAAACCAGACUCCCAGACUAUAACCUGUGAAAAUUGUAGAUUGCUUACUUGCAUUGAUUCAACUUUUAAUUGGCAACACCGUAUUCUGCUGGUGAGAGCAAGAGAGGGCGUGUGGAUCCCUGUGUCCAUGGACCGACCGUGGGAGGCCUCACCAUCCGUCCAUAUUUUGACUGAAGUAUUAAAAGGUGUUUUAAAUAGAUCCAAAAGAUUCAUUUUUACUUUAAUUGCAGUGAUUAUGGGAUUAAUUGCAGUCACAGCUACGGCUGCUGUAGCAGGAGUUGCAUUGCACUCUUCUGUUCAGUCAGUAAACUUUGUUAAUGAUUGGCAAAAGAAUUCUACAAGAUUGUGGAAUUCACAAUCUAGUAUUGAUCAAAAAUUGGCAAAUCAAAUUAAUGAUCUUAGACAAACUGUCAUUUGGAUGGGAGACAGACUCAUGAGCUUAGAACAUCGUUUCCAGUUACAAUGUGACUGGAAUACGUCAGAUUUUUGUAUUACACCCCAAAUUUAUAAUGAGUCUGAGCAUCACUGGGACAUGGUUAGACGCCAUCUACAGGGAAGAGAAGAUAAUCUCACUUUAGACAUUUCCAAAUUAAAAGAACAAAUUUUCGAAGCAUCAAAAGCCCAUUUAAAUUUGGUGCCAGGAACUGAGGCAAUUGCAGGAGUUGCUGAUGGCCUCGCAAAUCUUAACCCUGUCACUUGGGUUAAGACCAUUGGAAGUACUACGAUUAUAAAUCUCAUAUUAAUCCUUGUGUGCCUGUUUUGUCUGUUGUUAGUCUGCAGGUGUACCCAACAGCUCCGAAGAGACAGCGACCAUCGAGAACGGGCCAUGAUGAUGAUGGCGGUUUUGUCGAAAAGAAAAGGGGGAAAUGUGGGGAAAAGCAAGAGAGAUCAAAUUGUUACUGUGUCUGUGUAGAAAGAAGUAGACAUAGGAGACUCCAUUUUGUUAUGUGCUAAGAAAAAUUCUUCUGCCUUGAGAUUCUGUUAAUCUAUGACCUUACCCCAAACCCCGUGCUCUCUGAAACGUGUGCUGUGUCAACUCAGGGUUGAAUGGAUUAAGGGCGGUGCAGGAUGUGCUUUGUUAAACAGAUGCUUGAAGGCAGCAUGCUCCUUAAGAGUCAUCACCACUCCCUAAUCUCAAGUACCCAGGGACACAAAAACUGCGGAAGGCCGCAGGGACCUCUGCCUAGGAAAGCCAGGUAUUGUCCAAGGUUUCUCCCCAUGUGAUAGUCUGAAAUAUGGCCUCGUGGGAAGGGAAAGACCUGACCGUCCCCCAGCCCGACACCUGUAAAGGGUCUGUGCUGAGGAGGAUUAGUAAAAGAGGAAGGAAUGCCUCUUGCAGUUGAGACAAGAGGAAGGCAUCUGUCUCCUGCCUGUCCCUGGGCAAUGGAAUGUCUCGGUAUAAAACCCGAUUGUAUGCUCCAUCUACUGAGAUAGGGAAAAACCGCCUUAGGGCUGGAGGUGGGACCUGCGGGCAGCAAUACUGCUUUGUAAAGCAUUGAGAUGUUUAUGUGUAUGCAUAUCCAAAAGCACAGCACUUAAUCCUUUACAUUGUCUAUGAUGCCAAGACCUUUGUUCACGUGUUUGUCUGCUGACCCUCUCCCCACAAUUGUCUUGUGACCCUGACACAUCCCCCUCUUUGAGAAACACCCACAGAUGAUCAAUAAAUACUAAGGGAACUCAGAGGCUGGCGGGAUCCUCCAUAUGCUGAACGCUGGUUCCCCGGGUCCCCUUAUUUCUUUCUCUAUA